UGGGGGAUAUUGCGCAAUGGAGGAAACUCUGACGCAGCAACGCCGCGUGAAGGAAGAAGGCCUUCGGGUUGUAAACUUUUUUCUUCAGGGAAGAAUAAAUGACGGUACCUGAGGGGGAAGCCACGGCUAACUACGUGCCAGCAGCCGCGGUAAUACGUAGGUGGCGAGCGUUGUCCGAAAUUACUGGGUGUAAAGGGUGCGUAGGCGGGUUAUAAAGUCAGAUGUGAAAUACCGAGGCUUAACUUCGGGGCUGCAUUUGAAACUUAUGAUCUUGAGUGAGGUAGAGGCAAGCGGAAUUCCCAGUGUAGCGGUGAAAUGCGUAGAUAUUGGGAGGAACACCAGUGGCGAGGGCGGCUUGCUGGGCCUUAACUGACGCUGAGGCACGAAAGCAUGGGGAGCAAACAGG
rnacentral:rRNA from 1 species